rnacentral:rRNA from 1 species
UACGGGGGGGGGCAAGCGUUGUUCGGAAUUACUGGGCGUAAAGGGCGCGUAGGCGGCCUGCUAAGUCGGACGUGAAAUCCCUCGGCUCAACCGGGGAACUGCGUCCGAUACUGGUGGGCUCGAAUCCGGGAGAGGGAUGUGGAAUUCCAGGUGUAGCGGUGAAAUGCGUAGAUAUCGUAAGGAAGACCAGUGGCGAAGGCGGGUCUCUGGACAGUUCCUGACGCUGAGGCACGAAGGCCAGGGGAGCAAACGGGG